ACUGAACGCUGCGGCAGGCCUAACACAUGCAAGUCGAGCGAGCGGCGGACGGGUGAGUAAUGCUUAUGAAUCUGCCACUUAGCGGUGGACAACAUCUCGAACUGGAUGCUAAUACCGCAUACUCAUACAUGCGCCUAAGCCGGAUUAGCUAGUUGGUGGGGUAAAGGCCUACCAAGUCGACGAACUGUAGCGUGUCUGAGAGGAUGAUCCGCCAAAAUUGGACUGGGGCCCGGGUCAGACUUCUGCGGGAUGGAGCAGUGGGGAAUAUUGGACAAUGGGGCGAACCCUGAUCCAGCCAUGCCGCGGGUGUGAAGAAGGCCUUAUGGUUGUAAAGCACUUUAAGCGAGGAGGCGUUACUCGCAGAAUAAGCACCGGCUAACUCUGUGCCAGCCGCCGCGGUAAUAC
rnacentral:rRNA from 1 species